rnacentral:rRNA from 1 species
CCUACGGGAGGCAGCAGUAAGGAAUCUUCCACAAUGGACGAAAGUCUGAUGGAGCAACGCCGCGUGCAGGAUGAAGGCUUUCGGGUCGUAAACUGCUUUUAUAUGGGAAGAUUAUGACGGUACCAUAUGAAUAAGGACCGGCUAACUACGUGCCAGCAGCCGCGGUAAUACGUAGGGUCCAAGCGAUAUCCGGAAUUACUGGGCGUAAAGCGUGUGUAGGUGGAUUAAUAAGUGUGAUGCGAAAUCCGGCGGCUCAACCGUUUGGACUGUGUCGCAUACUGUUAGUCUAGAGGACGGCAGAGGUAAGUGGAAUUACGGGUGUAGCAGUGAAAUGCGUAGAUAUCCGUAGGAACACCAAUGGCGAAGGCAGCUUACUGGGCCACACCUGACACUGAGACACGAAAGCGUGGGGAGCGAACAGGAUUAGAUACCCUGGUAGUCCACGCCGUAAACGAUGCAUACUAUUAGUAUGGGGUAUCGACCCCCUGUGCUGAGAAGCUAACGCGAUAAGUAUGCCGCCGUGGGAGGUACGAGCGCGAGACUUAAACUACAAUAGAGUAGACGGCGUGAGACGUGCCGACGGACGACGACGACGGGAGGUUAGG